rnacentral:rRNA from 1 species
ACGGGCGAGUAAUACAUCGGAACGUAUCCUGGAGUGGGGGAUAGCCCGGCGAAAGCCGGAUUAAUACCGCAUACGCUCUGAGGAGGAAAGCGGGGGACCUUCGGGCCUCGCGCUCAAGGGGCGGCCGAUGGCGGAUUAGGUAGUUGGUGGGGUAAAGGCCUACCAAGCCGACGAUCCGUAGCUGGUCUGAGAGGACGACCAGCCACACUGGGACUGAGACACGGCCCAGACUCCUACGGGAGGCAGCAGUGGGGAGUUUUGGACAAUGGGGGCAACCCUGAUCCAGCAAUGCCGCGUGUGUGAAGAAGGCCUUCGGGUUGUAAAGCACUUUUGUCCGGAAAGAAAUCAUCGGGGCCAAUACCCCUGGUGGAUGACGGUACCGGAAGAAUAAGCACCGGCUAACUACGUGCCAGCAGCCGCGGUAAUACGUAGGGUGCGAGCGUUAAUCGGAAUUACUGGGCGUAAAGCGUGCGCAGGCGGUGCUGUAAGACCGAUGUGAAAUCCCCGGGCUUAACCUGGGAACUGCAUUGGUGACUGCAGCGCUGGAGUAUGGCAGAGGGGGGUGGAAUUCCACGU